CCGAAGCGGGGGAUAACAUUUGGAAACAAGUGCUAAUACCGCAUAAUUAGUUGGAACCGCAUGGUUCCAACUUGAAAGAUGGCUCUGCUAUCACUUUGGGAUGGACCCGCGCCGUAUUAGUUAGUUGGUGAGAUAAAAGCCCACCAAGACGAUGAUACGUAGCCGACCUGAGAGGGUAAUCGGCCACAUUGGGACUGAGACACGGCCCAGACUCCUACGGGAGGCAGCAGUAGGGAAUCUUCCACAAUGGACGAAAGUCUGAUGGAGCAACGCCGCGUGAGUGAUGAAGGUUUUCGGAUCGUAAAACUCUGUUGUUAAAGAAGAACAAGUGUUAGAGUAACUGUUAACACUUUGACGGUAUUUAACCAGAAAGCCACGGCUAACUACGUGCCAGCAGCCGCGGUAAUACGUAGGUGGCAAGCGUUGUCCGGAUUUAUUGGGCGUAAAGCGAGCGCAGGCGGUUUUGUAAGUCUGCUGUGAAAGCCCUCAGCUCAACUGAGGAAGUGCAGUGGAAACUACAAAACUUGAGUACAGAAGAGGAAAGUGGAACUCCAUGUGUAGCGGUGAAAUGCGUA
rnacentral:rRNA from 2 species